rnacentral:rRNA from 1 species
AUGAUGUUCGUAGUUAUAGUUACUACCGAAACGCUAGAACACCAUGUGGAGAUUAGCCUUGGUUCGCCUACUCCAUCGUCACGGGCUGACUGCUGCUCCCGUUCCCGCCCCCCGCCGUCGCAUCGUUCAAAGCGCCCUGCGACUGCGUCACGCUCCCGACAGGCGCCGCGGGAGGAGCGGAAGCACGCGCGCCCGGGUGAAACGGCGGGCGUCCUUGGAACCGCCCCGGCGCGGGCGGGCGGGGCCGCUUGGCGAUGGGCCGGCCUUGGACCGGCCGGGGAGCGAACGGACGUGCGAAGUCGCGCGGAAGGAAGCGGAAGUGCUGCCUCGCGAGCGGGCGCUCCCGGAACGGGGGCGGCGCCGGCGGGCGGCUCCGCAGCGCGUGCGGGGGCAGCUCGCCUAUGGCCACCAGGUACUCCGCGGCGAGGCGGCCGGCCUCCAUGA